rnacentral:rRNA from 1 species
UACGUAGGGUCCGAGCGUUGUCCGGAAUUAUUGGGCGUAAAGGGCUCGUAGGCGGUCUGUCGCGUCGGGAGUGAAAACUCAGGGCUCAACCCUGAGCGUGCUUCCGAUACGGGCAGACUAGAGGUAUGCAGGGGGAGAACGGAAUUCCUGGUGUAGCGGUGGAAUGCGCAGAUAUCAGGAGGAACACCGGUGGCGAAGGCGGUUCUCUGGGCAUGACCUGACGCUGAGGAGCGAAAGCAUGGGGAGCGAACAGG